UACGAAGGGGGCUAGCGUUGCUCGGAAUCACUGGGCGUAAAGCGCACGUAGGCGGCUUUCUAAGUCAGGGGUGAAAUCCUGGAGCUCAACUCCAGAACUGCCUUUGAUACUGGAGAGCUUGAGUCCGGGAGAGGUGAGUGGAACUCCGAGUGUAGAGGUGAAAUUCGUAGAUAUUCGCAAGAACACCAGUGGCGAAGGCGGCUCACUGGCCCGAUACUGACGCUGAGGUGCGAAAGCGUGGGGAGCAAACAGG
rnacentral:rRNA from 1 species